rnacentral:rRNA from 1 species
CUACCAAGACAGUGACGGUUGACGGGGAAUCAGGGUUUGAUACCGGAGAGGGAGCCUGAGAGACAGCUCCCACGUCCAUGGACGGCAGCAGGCGCGAAAAUUGCCCACCCUUUGCAGGAGGCAGUUAUGAGGCGUGACGAUGAAUGCUCGGCAAAGAUGAGCAGGGGAAUUGGAGGGCAAGUUUGGUGCCAGCCGCCGCGGUAAUACCGACUCCAAGAGUGUGUAUGAGAGAUGCUGCAGUUAAAAAGUCCGUAGUCAUAGAAUAGUAAAUAGGGAUAUGAAGUCUCAUAAUUUAGUGAUAGAAAAACCGAUGGGGAACAUAGUAUACCAGGGCGAGAGAUGAAAUGCCAAGACCCCUGGUGGACUAAGCGAGGCGAAAGCGAUGUUCUUGUAGGUAUUUGAUGAUCAAGGACGAAGGCUGGAGUAUCGAAAGUGAUUAGAUACCGCAGUAGUUCCAGCAGUAAAAGAUGCC